GAUGGAAAGGACCCCUGAAGCCAGGGCUAAGGCACCCAAAGCAUCCAAGCAGUCCAAACAAGGCUUUAACAAUGAGUGGAAAACCACAUUCUCAUCAAGCAAGACCUCCUUCACCAAAGGCAGGGUUUCGAUCCUGAGGAAUAAGUACGACAUCUCCUGGGGCAAAUCCUCGAUCUCCUGGAGCAGAACCACAGUAACUUUGGGCAACGCUGGCAUAGCAGUGGGCAAAACAUCUGUCACACGAGGGGAGACCACGAGCUCACUCACCACUCUGACACUCACUCAUGGGACCAAGUCUGUGUCUGUGGUCAAAACCACCCUCAUCAGGGGCAAAGAAACGCACAGCAACGUCUACUGGGAUUUUCACACAUGAAUCCUGCACACACUUAAAAACCCAAGGAUAUGUCUGUCUGGUCAGUUUUAGCAGUCUUGGCAUAACCAGCAGGAUCAGAUGACACAGACAGACUCCUCACUGGCUGCAGCAUUGUGUAACACCGGCCAAUGCUGUAUUGAUCAUCCUGGACGGUUGCGGGGAGAAGUCCUGUGUCCUGGAUUCGUCACAAAACAGCCAUGAGAAAGAAAAAAAGCUUUGUUCUCGGAUGAACAUUAAAAUAAGAAUAAUAAUUGGGUCCAAAUCCAAAUAGAGUAAAAGAUGUAAACAUUUAAAAACUACAGCAGGGUGUGUCCCUCUCACUCUCUCACCCAUCCCCUCUGUGAACAAGUGUCCAGGAAAAGUGUUUCGUGGUCAGAGGAGGUGUAGAGGGAUCAGGGUGAACGAUGGACAGUGAGGGCGUGAGGCGAAGAAGCAGCUAGAGUGUAAAUCAGAUGGUUUGAGCAUGACGGGGGGGGAAAAGUGAGGAAAACCAGGGUGUUACUAAUGGUGAGAGAGCAGGCUGAUCUCUGAGAGACCUUAAGUCAAAUCUAGAGAAAUCUCUGCUGUAACUUCAUAUACUUGACAGUGGUGGUGUAUCAGGGGAAAUGCAAAAAAAAAAAGAAAUUGAACCAGAAAUCACAAUUAUUCCAAGACAUGAAGAUUUGUAUUAUUUCUUCAAAAGUAAGAGAGGUGGAGAGCGGCACGCAAUGAUGCAACCGUCAGCCGUUACUACUCCUCGGAAUAAAAAAACAAAACAAAGAGCCACCCACUUGCAGAAGCAUGUCCAGCUGAUGUGAAUAUGUAUUUGUGUUUACUAGAGGACAGAACAUUUUAUUCUCUCCUCUCGAGCCACUCCCCCACCCGCCACAAGAGCUCAGGACGCAGCUCCUCUCCUCUCCCUCCCUUGUUGCUUUUGUUUACAGAGGACCCACACCUCACGUCAGACCUGUCCAGUCUCACUCAUCUGUCGCCGUGUUAAGAUGGAACUUGUUGCUAGUGGCAACAGCACAGUCGACACUGCUGUCUCUGUGGAUAAAUAAAUAUCUCCAAGUCUCUUUACUCUAAAAAGCCAUUAAGCUAAAUUCCUUUUGGAUUUUUGGGUGUUGUCUGAUAUUCAUGUGUCAUCUUCAGCCUGAAGACUGACACCAGCCUCUGCAGGAUGAUACAUAGGAUACGUACGUAGAAUUUAAAACCAUUUGGAUGAAAUUAAGUUGUAAGGUUUUAAUUUUUUCCUGCCAUUAGUAUUUGAAUGAUGAGUCUUGGUUCCAGUUUAUUUACAGACGACCUGUUGUAAUGCCUCCGAGCCCCCUGGCCUCAUGCAGAAAUUGUUCCCUGUGGUGGUGCAAAUGUUUGAUCAGGUUUCCCUUUGUUAUACUCACUCGUCUAUUGCUGUACAUAUGUGUCUCUAAUUCAAAUGAAUCGUAAAAACACUGUAAACAAUGUAAUGAAACCCAGAGUAGAUAUAAAGGUGAGUUUCUGUUCAAGAUCGAGUAAAAUUCACUUUUAAAUCAGACUGCGACGGCAGUUUGUCUGUCUGUUAUGUGAUCUCAAGUGACGGACAGUGUUGAGGAACAUGAGACAACAGCAUGUGACAAAUUAACAGACAAAGACGUCCCUCAAAAUGUCAUAACUUCCUCAAAUGAACUGUUGGGAACUGAAAAAGGUAAUCUGUGUGUUCUGAUUGUAUGUUAAACAUGUAUGAGGGGGGAAAAGUUCAGAUUUUAUAUAUACACAGAUGUAUAAGGGGAAAAUAAAAGCUUGGCGUACUUGGUGUACUAAUGAAGCACUAACAUCAGCUUAGCUACUGUCGCCAGGCAGCCAUUGCAGCUGUGGAAGCAGCUGACGUGUCAGUCGGCACGACAGCGCCUGGAUCCUGUGUCCUGCAUCCUGUGUCCUGCAUCCUGCCCCAGCCAGAGGGUCACUGCUGAUUCAGAGUCUCUCUCCUAUUUCAAUGCACGUUCACAACAACCUAUGACUACUUGAAUGAACUCUGAUCAGAACGGCAUCAAGAAGAAAAAGAACAUAAAAAAAAAAGAAAGAAAAACAGGUCAGAAACGUCAUGAAGGAUGAGACAGGCAGCGACACUGACAUGCCUGGAAGAAUAUUACCCUCGAUGUGAACCUAAUCAAUGUCAUGUUGUUCAGUAAGAAAUGAAAGAAACUGUGUAGUAAGUGUUACUGAUGGAAAGCUGUUUGAGAUUUAUUUCUGUCUUGUCCGGCGUUUGUCCUUAAAAUGCUUAAAAUGAUUAAAUCAGUCUUAGCACCUUCAGGUCCGACUGAAAACAACACUAAUAUUUCUCUGUGUUGUGAGUCCACUGUGAGAACUUCUCUUCUGUUGCAGGUAUACACUCUGUGUGGUGUUGUUGUUGUGUGUUAUUGCUUCACUGCACGUCACUAAAAUUCAGUUGGACAGAAAGGUCCUGGAAUAAAAACGCUUGAUUGUG